rfam:Dipodomys ordii contig_57219, whole genome shotgun sequence.
GUUAAGGUGGCUCAAUGGUAGAGUGCUUGCCUUGUGUGCAUGAGGCCCUGGAUCCUAUUCCUCAACA